UGCGCAGGCGGGCUUGUAAGUCAGUGGUGAAAUACUGCCGCUUAACGGUAGAACUGCCAUUGAUACUGCAAGUCUUGAAUAUGGUUGAGGUAGGCGGAAUGUGUCGUGUAGCGGUGAAAUGCAUAGAUAUGACACAGAACGCCAAUUGCGAAGGCAGCUUACUAAGCCAUUAUUGACGCUGAGGCACGAAAGCGUGGGGAGCGAACAGGAUUAGAUACCCUGGUAGUC
rnacentral:rRNA from 1 species